AUAUUCCAACACCUGCUUUAGAUUCGAUGGGGUGACGGGGUAGUGAAAGAUCCGCCUGGUGACGGAAUACCAGGUUAAAGGGUGUAGAUAUAGAUUUUGUAGGUAAAUCCGCAAGAACUGUCGAACCUGAUAGUACAGCAAAGCUUCGGCUGCGUUGAUAGUGAUCCUAAUCAGACCUCCGAGAAAAACCUCUAAGUUAUGUUUAAAGCAGCCCGUACCGCAAACCGACACAGGUGGGUGGGAUGAAUAUUCUAAGGCGCUCGGGUGAGCCUUGGAGAAGGAACUAGGCAAAUUGACGCUGUAACUUCGGGAUAAAGCGUACCGAUUUCGGUCGGUCUCAGUAAAAUGGUACAACCAACUGUUUAGCAAAAACACAGGGCCCUGCAAAAUCGAAAGAUGACGUAUAGAGCCUGAUACCUGCCCGGUGCUGGAAGGUUAAGGAAGGAUGUUCGGCGCAAGCCAAAGCUUCUGACUGAAGCCCCAGUAAACGGCGGCCGUAACAAUAACGGUCCUAAGGUAGCGAAAUUCCUUGUCGGGUAAGUUCCGACCUGCACGAAUGGUCUAAUGAGUUGUACACUGUCUCCUCCAAGAGCCCGGUGAAAUUGUAGUAUCGGUGAAGAUGCCGGUUACCCGUCACGGGACGGAAAGACCCCAUGAACCUUCACUACAACUUUGCAUUGAUUUUGAAUUUUUGAUGUGUAGGAUAGUUGGGAGACUUUGAAGCGGUGUCGCUAGGCAUCGUGGAGUCAACGUUGAAAUACCAACCUUUAAACAUUUAGAAUCUAAUCCCUAACGGGAAACAGUGCAUGGUGGGUAGUUUGACUGGGGUGGUCGCCUCCUAAAAUGUAACGGAGGCUUGCAAAGGUUCCCUCAGUACGGUUGGUAAUCGUACAUAGAGCGUAUUAGUAUAAGGGAGCUUGACUGUGAGACUUACAAGUCGAGCAGGGACGAAAGUCGGCUAAAGUGAUCCGGUGGUUCUGUAUGGAAGGGCCAUCGCUCAAAGGAUAAAAGGUACUCUGGGAUAACAGGCUGAUCUCACCCAAGAGCUCAUAUCGACGGUGAGGUUUGGCACCUCGAUGUCGGUUCGUCACAUCCUGGGGCUGGAGAAGGUCCCAAGGGUUCGGCUGUUCGCCGAUUAAAGUGGCACGUGAACUGGGUUCAGAACGUCGCAAGACAGUUCGGUCCCUAUCUGUGAUGGGCGCUAGUAAAUUGAGAGGACAUGACCUUAGUACGAGAGGACCGGGUCGUAUGUACCGCUAGUGUAUCUGUUGUGCCGCCAGGUGCAAUGCAGAGUAGCUAUGUACAGCAUGGAUAAACGCUGAAAGCAUCUAAGCGUGAAACCAACCUCAAGAUGAGUUUACUUUUAAGGGUUGUCAAAGACUAUGACGUUGAUAGGCUACAGGUAUAAGGGUGGUAACAUCGAAGCCGAGUAGUACUAAUUGCCCGUAAGCUUUAUC
rnacentral:rRNA from 1 species